GAUGAACGCUGGCGGUAUGCUUAACACAUGCAAGUCGAACGGACUCGUCGGAGUUAGGGGCGGACGGGGGAGGAACGCGGGAGAAGCUGGCCGUGGGCUCGGGACAACCACUGGAAACGGAGGCUAAUACCGGAUGUGCCGAGAGGUAAAAGAGAAAUUGCCUGAAGAGGAGCGCGCGUCUGCUUAGCGAGGUGGGGAGGGAAAGGCACACCAAGGCAGCGAUCAGUAGCUGGUCGGAGGGGAAGAGCAGCCACAGGGGGACUGAGACACGGCCCAGACGUCUGCGGGAGGGCGCUGGGGGGAAUUUUCCGAAAUGGGGGAGCGCCUGACGGCGCAGUCCCGCGUGGGGUAAGAAGGCUCUUGGGUUGUAACCCUCUUUUCUUAGGGAAGAACAGAAUGACGGUAACUAAGGAAUCAGCAUCGGCUAACUCCGUG
rnacentral:rRNA from 1 species